GUGUUGGCCACUGCACAGAGGGUCCACCAUGGAGACUGGGAGAGGUGGCAGCAGCAGGUGAGGGUGCCUGGGGGAGGUACCCAGGAUUCAGAGGACAGGGCAUGCCCCCUCCCAGCUGGAGGACUUCCCCAGGAGAGGGGCCUUCCUCCUCCAGAGCAUCUGCUGUGGCCGCUGAACCUGAAGUGCCUGCAUUGGCAGUGAGCAGGAGGGGGCCUGGAAGGGCUGGGAGCUGGAUGGUUUUGGGUUGGGGAGGGGCAGGGCCCACAUCCCCUGGGAUUGGCUCACAGCCAGCCCUGGGACGUGACUGGGGGAGUUUGAUGUUCCUGGAGAGGAGGGGAGAAGGGAAUUGUGUGUGGUGGGGGCUCCUGUGGGUCCUAGGCUGCUGUAAGUGGGAGCCUGGUGUGGGCAGGGGGCUGGGUUGAGAGGUUUCAGGGGAGGGCUCAUGGGGGCACCUGAGUGCUGGAACUCAUCACCAUGCCCACCUUGAUGGUGCAGGGUGUCAUCCCCUCCCUCGAGAUGAUCUUCAGUUACCUGGAGCUGCUGAAUGAUGAGACAGAUUAUUAUGUGGAGGUGAGUGAGACUGGAGGUGGGGCCCUGGGAUCAGGCUCCUGAGGGUUUGGGAGGAGAGAGUCCUGCCUGAGCCCUGAGCUCUCACACUUGGAAAGGUCCUCUCUGCAGAGCCUCCCAGCCUCCUGUGGAAGCCAGGGCAUCAGGCCCAUCACAGCAACGAGUGAGGGGAGGCUCUGCCUAGGCCGCCAUCCAGUCUCCCUGGGCUGCUGAGGCUCAGAGCUGCCUGGCUGUGUGGCCACAGGAGGUGGUGUCUGAGCUGGACUCAGCCUCUCCCUCUGGCCCUGCCCAUGAGGGAAGAGAAGUCGGGGCCCUACCACUCAGGAAGCACAUCAGUGGCUGAGCUGUCCCCUCCUGCCUGAGGCCUCAGUCUCCCCAUGUGUCAUCGGAGAGGGUUAGAUUACAAGGUCUCAGCUCCUCUGCCCCCAGGUCUGGAGCCCAGAGCCUGGCCCAGGUCCAAGUCCGGUCUCUGGCAGGGCCUGCCCACUGGCAGCAGUGCAACACUGGAAGAGGUGGGAUGGGGGCUAGUUCUGGGCUAAGGGGGCUGUUUCUGAUGGACUUUGGCUGCCUGCCUUCCAGGGCAAUGUGCUCAGCUGUCGGAAUGAGGAAUUCAAACUCAUCAAGGACAUCAAGCUGAUCCAGAAGGCUGCAAAUCUGUACACCGUGCAGCCCGAUGAGCACUUUGGGGCCUGGUUCCAGGCCAUGGAGCCCCUGAGUGAGGAGGCGAGCUACAGCCUGUCCUGUCAGCUGGAGCCCCAGUACCAGUGGACCAGAAAUAUUCGACUCUACUUCAAAGACAAGAAGAGCCACUUCUCUUCCCGCCGAGAGCUGAACACCAGGCCCCCAAAAAAGAGCCCAGUGGUGGUGGCAGGUGACGCUCCUGACACCAGCUGAACUACAGCAGGGACACAGCGGGGACACUCAGGUGCACGGGGCCACCUCUCAGAUGCUGAUAUGAAUGAAAACUUUGUGAUCCAUUUCCUGGGGUCCCCUGAAGGCCUCAAGGGAUUGGACGACCACCCCAUCUCCCUCACACAUUUUCCCCAGCGCCUAUUUCCCUCUUUGGAGUGGCCAUACUUUUGUUGUCAAUAAUAAAUGCUAAGUUUGGGUAUUCUAUUAAAUUUCUGUUUCUUUCUCAGCCUGGGAGUGGACGUGUGGUUCUUUU